CAUUUGAGGUCACAAUCUAUAAGGUAGUACAAUAUGAGGUUAAUCAUGUUCUGACUGUUGAACAUGCCAUCUGGAUUCAGUUAUUUGAACAACCAAAUCUAUUUUCUUAUUCAUUAUGUUUUUUACAUCAACUCAGCUGAAUAUUUCUUGUUAAUUUCAUGUGACAUUCUGUUGCUUGUAAAGUGUAUGUUUUCCAGUCUGCUAAUUUGAUCUUUUGUUUUAUUGAUGUCUUUUGC
rnacentral:misc_RNA from 1 species